rnacentral:rRNA from 1 species
AAAAUGACUCUCGGCAACGGAUAUCUCGGCUCUCGCAUCGAUGANAAACGUAGCAAACUGCGAUACUUGGUGUGAAUUGCAGAAUCCCGUGAACCAUCGAGUCUUUGAACGCAAGUUGCGCCCGAAGCCAUUAGGCUGAGGGCACGUCUGCCUGGGCGUCACGC